AGAGCUGAUAUACAAAGAAGUUCUUGAAUGGGAAGAAAAGACAAAGAAUGGUGUCAUUAGAGGACAGCCACCACCUUUAGCACAGGUGCAGCAGUGAUUAAUGGCUCUCAGAACCCAUCAUCAUCAUCACCAUCUGUCAACGAUGUGUCCUCCAUGUCCACAGAUCCGACAUUGGCCUCUGACACAGACAGCAGUCUAGAGACAUCAGCUGGACCACUGGGUUGUUGCAGAUGACUAUUGGCCUCCUUUGGUUCUGUUGUUCAUGCCCGAUGGAGCAGCCUGUAGACAACCUUUUCAGCAAAGAAAGCUGUUCAUUUUUCCAGAGCUAAUUUUACAGACUUUCCAGUUAGGACUUUUUCAUUUAAUUUCGAAUGCUGCUGUAAAGUCUGAAAUGCUUUAUAAUGUUGUGGAAGUUCCUUCAGUUUGUAAUUUAUGCAGCUGUUCUGCUGCUUAUUUUAUUUUUAACUUUUUUCCAGGACUGGAGCCGUUUGUUUCUGUACUUGUAAGUAAUACACUUAUCUUGGAUAAGUUAGUAGUAUGUUUUGCAGUUUAUAAAAAGAAAGAAACUGCCAACACCAAAUAUGCAACUGGUGUUUCCUUUAAAAGGAAUAUGUAUUCCAGUGGAUAGUCUGGUACACUAAACUGAAAUAUGAAGUGCUCUUUUUGUAUGUUGCUUAAUUGUGGCUUUUUGUUUAUAUUGCUACAUUAAGCUGUUUCCCACUUCCAGCAGUCACUGCAGUAGUCUAAAUGAGACUGCACGGUUUAGGAACUGCAGUUUCAUAAGAGGUGGUGCCAACACUAUCUUGGAUGGAACUUGAGACAGUCCAAUCUUGCUUAACUGAACUUUGUGUAGCAGCAGAGUAGUAUAUACCAACAAAGUGUGUGAACUCUUGAGUACUGAACUUUCUCCAUUUGCUAAGCCUUGUUAGUAGACUGGAAACAAGUUUGUAUAGAGCAUUCCUUUAAACUUAGUUCCAUUGUUAAAAUAUUUUACAGUACCCUAAGAAAUGUGGUUAGGAACUGAUGUCCCCACAGUACCGGAUGUCAUGAAAUAGAUGAUGCAUCAAACCAGGAGGUCACGUCUGUUUACCAAAACUGCUGAGUCAGUAUGCCUGCAUGCAACUCUUCUUAAUUUAAAAAAAAAUACAACUUGCACUAAAACAUGCGAAGUAAUCGGCCUUUCUUGAAAGUGGCAAGUUGCUUAAAUUGACUAGCAGUGCAGAUUUUUUUCUUUUGCACUUAUGUCCACUGCCUGCCAAGCCAGAUUCAGCCCUGUCAUGAUUGAUUGGCCUAUUUUGAUCCCCUUUGGGGGUGAGUGUCAGUCAGAGGAACCAGCCAGGCAGCUGUCACUGGUUUUCCUUGUGUGGCCGUAGCCUUCCUCAUCAGUAGCGUGACAUAUAUACUUGCCUAGGCAAGGCUUACUGUGCUUUCACUGGUUUCUUCAUUGCUUGAGACAUUAGUCUGUGGUUGCCUGGGUCACAAUCAGUGUGUCACUCCUCUUUCCCAAGGAAUUUAGUCUGGCAAUGUAAGUUUUUGAAUGAAAAUGAUGUAGUAAACCCCAUGUGUGCUACAUCUUGUAAACCACGGUUUGAUUCCUAUUCGUUACUUUUGUACUGCAGAGUUGAUCAGAGCUUCAUCUUUCCUGGAGAGCUGCUUUACAUGACUGUGUGCAUCUGGUGUAUGAUUAGUGUCACAUUUAAGCACAGUUUGUUUGCUGCAUGUCCUUCAUCCCACAAGCCAGCUAUUUGCAAAUGUUAAGUUUUUCCCAUAACCAUGUGCAAAGUCCAUGGUUCAACUAUUUUCCUGUUCUUGUCUGCAUCCUAGUCUGCAGUCUCAACACACCAUUUUGGCUUUCUUUGACAUUUAUUUCCUUUUACAAUUCUCAUAGCAAGUGAUGCCUCACGUGACCCAUGGCACUAGGUUCUGUUACUGAACAUUAUUCACCAAAAUAGUGGCCAUCAUAGUCAACACUGGCAUGAAGCUUGGCACUCAUAACUAAGUGGUAUGGUGGUACUGGGUAUUCUUGAAACAGAAGGUGUACUAAACACUUGUUUUGGCCUUUGUUUCUUGCUGGAAAAAAUUGACCUUAAAUUCAUUUUGAAGAGUUUGUACCCAACAACAGUCAGGCAGUGAAAAAAAAUCUGCUGGAAACAUCUUCAGAAAUGCAGAAGAAAAAGCUGUAACCCUAGAUAUUUUCAUUCUAAAUCACUGGAGAGAGGAUCAUGACAAAAUUAAGUUGCUCUGUUGUGGGGGACAGACAUUGUAGGAAGAGACAGCUUUAGCAGGAAAAAAAUUGCGUCUGUGAAAGCCCCAGUGACCUUUUGGGGCAGAGCAGUUUGGGUAAUAACACUGACCUUUUGAUGACCCAUCUGGACAAUAGUUGUCCAUGAAUUUACAAUAAUGGAAAUGAGACCGUAUGAUGUGUUAUGUUAGCAGUUCUGUCAUGUUAUGCCAUUUAGCUGUGAGCGAUUUGUGAGUCUAACAUUAUUUAAGACCAAUCCAGUGAAUUGUAGAAAUGAAUUCUCCAGGGAAACCUUCAUUCUUCAGUCUUACAGAAUCAGUCGAUUAAUUCAUUGUCCAUAUCUACACAUAAUAUGGAAGAUUUCUAAUUGCAAGUUAAUAGCAAAUUUGGAGGUUUUUUAUAUCAUUUGAACAGUUCAGGAGUUUAACUGUCAUUAGAGAAGUAAUUUCUAUAUAGUAAAUGGAGCGCAGAUGCUUAUUGAUGAGCUCUGUAUAGUAAAUGGAGCGCAGAUGCUUACUGAUGAGCUCUGUAUAGUAAAUGCAGUGCAGAUGCUUACUGAUGAGCUCUGUAUAGUAAAUGCAGUGCAGAUGCUUACUGAUGAGCUCUGUAUAGUAAAUGAAGUGCAGAUGCUUACUGAUCAGCUCUGUGUGCAUACCUGUCAACUGUCCAUAUUCUCUCAGAGUUGCCAGAUUUGUCAUCCAUUUUUCAUAACAUUGGUCACUAAAAACAGACAUUUGAGUUUUCAUACUUCAUGCCCUUCAAGAAUCGAGUGCUAAUGCAAAACCUAUUAUUCUAGCAAGUUUCUCCAAGUCCAUAAGAGCAGUAUUUAAAAUGUGUCCCUGAUUUUGGGAAUUUGACCUUGCCGUUAUCUUUAUCUCUGUCUAGAUUUCUUGUAGUUAGAGGUUGAGAGGUAUGUCUACAUGUAACUGCUACAAAAAUGAUCAGUUUUCAACUGUUGGCAGACUGUUUGUUUUUUUUUUUUUUUUUUUUUUUUUUUUAGAACUGCUCUGUUUAUUUUACCUGGCUCAGUAGUAUUUUAAAACCCCAAAUUAAUUUUACAUUUUGAGGAUUGAGAUAGGAGUACUUUUAGUUCAUUGAGAUACUACACUUCUCUGUAAACUGUAUUGCUUUUUUUUUUUAUUUUGUUUUGUUUUUAUUCUUAAUCUGGAAAGUAGUUUGGAACAUUGGGCUAUGCAUUCUGAAUAAAAAAAAGUGGCAGACUGCACUGCUUUAACAUUUUUGGCAAAAAAAAAAAUCACAUGUGAAAAGCAAUAUCACUUUUACAAUGGACCAGCAUUUUUUCCUCGGAGCUGUACCUCGCAAGGACACAAGCAACAUCAACAGGAGUGGGAGAGUCUGUCAGUAACUUAUGAAUCUUAUUUUGGUCCAUUUCAUCCUGGUGUAAGUUAACAAUGUAGUUGCAUGGUUCAGUUCCCAGUUCAGUUCUGUUUUUAUUUCUUACAUUUGUAGUACGCGUUUCUUGCAUUUUCCAACCUUAAAAUAGUUUUGUUGUAUUCCAGGCUUAUGUUUUUUUUUCUUUCACAAAUAUAGUUCUCCCUCCUGUUUUUACAUUUUCCCUGUACUGCAGGCCAUUGUGUUAAUGAUUUACAUUUUCAAACCUUGUUAAAACAGUUUGUUAUAAAGAUUGGCAUUUAAUGUUGUAUGUUUUUGUCCUGAUGAUAACUUGAUUUGUGAUACUUGCAGCUGUCAGUUAAAGUCAUAAUAAGUGAAAAAGUAUGCUGAAGAAACAUGCAUUUCAGCUGGAAUGGUAUCUGUGGAAGAAUGAAAGGCUGACAAAGUGUAAGCAGAGGACCAAAAAGUAGGUGUUUGCCCAAGUCCCUUCCCCUCAUGUGUGCCAUCACCUUUAUUAGAGGAGUCGAAGACUUCCGUUACUUAACUAAAGCAUCCGAGUGUCUUGACUGUUGUGAUGUACCUUUGGUGUCGCACAUUCUGCUGAACUUAAAAAGAGCAUCUAAUUCUUUGCUGUGGAGUACUUUUUUCAUAACAUGUAGCUUAUGUGUCUGUCUGGGAAUGCAGUGUUGAUAGAAUUUUGUUCUGGCUUCGAUACUGAAACUUGGAGAGUGACAUUUAUUUUUAUGUAUGUAGAUAUGAAGAAGUAUCACCUUGAUGUCCUGAUCAGAGGUGAAGUAAGAUUUUUGUAUGACAAUAGAGGUUUAAUUUUCUGCGAUGUAAUUAUUCCUUAUAGGAAAACGUGAAUUACUGCUUAACUGGCUUUUUUUUAGUACUGUUGACUUUAUGGUUUUAGUUGAAGCAGUGUAUCAUCGUAUAUCAUUGCCUACCUAAAUUAAGCAGUGUAUCAUCUUAUAUCAUUGCCUGCCUAAAUUAUCUGCUUUAAUAGAGGUAGCCAGGAAAACAUCAUUGAGAAGAAGCUGGAUUUCUAGUUGUAGUGUUAAUCUUGCAUUCAGGUAUACUGUUUAUUGUAGCCAUUUGCAGUUUGUUGCCUCCAGCAUCUUUUUUACAUAAUUAGCAACUAUUUAUUCAGCAGAAAGUUGGGCAUCUUGUUGCUCACCAUCAUUUAACAUGCAUUCAUUCAUUUACAAAAGCACAUUACUUAGGUCUCUAAGAGUAAAAAAAAUAGCUAACCAAAUUAUUUUUCGGAGUAAUGUAUAGCUCAUCAGUUGUAGAGAUAAUAACUUAUAAGAGCAGACUUUCUGCCUAGGAAAUUGACGUCAUUUGUGGACAUGACAGUUUUGAGAUGCACAUUUUGAAAUUGAUUUUGCAUUGAUAAAUAUCACUUUUAACACGCACAAAAUGUCAUUAUAUUGAUUUAGACAGCUACUUUCUCUAUGAACAUAUUUAGUUGAGUUUUAGUAUGUACAAAAGGGUAUGCAACAGCAAAAGUGAAAAAUUUAAAUUACUAAGCUAUGCUGGCACAUCAGCAGUGAGUGUCUAGGGCAGCUGUAGGAAAACUGACUGAAACUGUGUCUGGAAUCAGGGGGUUUAAAAUGUUGAAAUGUAUGUAUAUAGACCUUUUUUAAUUUAAUAUUGCAGUAUUUGACCACCUUAGUGGUAGUAGGUCACUAGUUAUUUCUUUAUGGGAAUAAACUGUGGUGCUCUGAAUAGGAGAAAAUUCUGGAAACGGUAUGUAAACUGGGUUUAGCAAAAGAUGAAUUGUAACUUGAGUGUUUCCUGUAAUUUUAUUCUAAAUUCAAAACUGCAGUUUAAUUACAGUUCUUAGUUAAGUGCUCUUAAUAUAUUGAGGGUAAUGUCUUUAUUGACUUUUUUCUGCAUCAGUCAUUGUCUGUAACUCAUUGAUGCCGUAUGUUUUCCAUGACCUUUGCAUUUAGGUAGCUUUGCUUUGGCAUAUGCUUUACCGUUCACAGACGAUUUGUAAAGUUUUGAAGUAGGCCGUUAUGAACUACCUCGCACAAAAAUGUGUAAUUUCUUGACAUUAAAGCUGCCGUCACUACUCGUAGAGGCUGAAUGUGAAAAGAUGGCACAUGUUUAUUUUAAGUGCCCUGCAAUGACAGUCGUUUUGUUGUUGAGGGCAUUUUUAAUAUCUUUUUGUCUGUAUAAUAUAUAUUCCAUCUAGAAAGAUGUUAUGUAUACUUUUAUGUGCAAUAAUUUUAGCAGAUUGUAACUUUUGUGGUUGGUGAAGAUAUUUUUUUGAGGUACUUAUAAUUUGAUACUGUUAAAUUGAUUUGUUAAGCAGUCGUUUCUGCCCAUCUUGUGUGGUUUAACUAAUGUAACAGACUUUAUCAUCGCACAUUUUUGAAGGUUCUUAAAUUUGAUGUCUUACAUACCACAGAUCUUUGACAAAACUUGCUUUCUACUUAAGAUCACAUAGUAGUGUACUUUUGUAAUGGAAGUUCUUUUCUUCCUUUAAAUAAAGAGCACUGCUCUGGCAUGGUUUUCAUCUACUGUUUUAAAAUGAAGUAUUAAAAAUUCUGGCCAUCUGUUGUAACUGGUUUCUUCAGCAAAGAUGUGUCUUUUACUGAAGUUUCCAUAAAUAUUUAUGUAUUGUGUAUGGUUAUACAUUUUUUAAUUGGUGAGGUAGUGUGCCUCUUGUGCAAAUUGUUGAUUUAAUUUUGGGUAUGUCAAGCUGCCACAGCUCCAUUUAUCAUGCGCUUUUGGAAUAUGUACAUUAUUAUCCACAACUAUCAUCAAUAGCAGAAAAGUCCUGCAAAUAAACCAUAAACAUUU